GGAGGUUGCGAGCGUUGUUCGGAAUUACUGGGCGUAAAGGGAGCGCAGGCGGCCAGGUCAGUCUGAAGUGAAAGCCCGGGGGGGCUCAACCCCGGGAAGGGCUUCGGAUACUGCCUGGCUUGAGUACGUGAGAGGUGAGCGGAAUUUCAGGUGAAGCGGUGAAAUGCGUAGAUAUCUGAAGGAACAUCGGUGGCGAAAGCGGCUCACUGGCACGAAACUGACGCUGAGGCUCGAAAGCGUGGGGAGCGAACGGGAUUAGAUACCCCGGUAGUCCACGCCGUAAACGUUGUGCACUAGGUGUGAGAGGUAUCGACCCCUCUCGUGCCGGAGCUAACGCAUUAAGUGCACCGCCUGGGGAGUACGGUCGCAAAGACUG
rnacentral:rRNA from 1 species